CGGCGGACGGGUGAGUAAUGCCUAGAAUCUGCCUGGUAGUGGGGGACAACGUUUCGAAAGGAACGCUAAUACCGCAUACGUCCUACGGGAGAAAGCAGGGGACCUUCGGGCCUUGCGCUAUCAGAUGAGCCUAGGUCGGAUUAGCUAGUUGGUGAGGUAAUGGCUCACCAAGGCGACGAUCCGUAACUGGUCUGAGAGGAUGAUCAGUCACACUGGAACUGAGACACGGUCCAGACUCCUACGGGAGGCAGCAGC
rnacentral:rRNA from 1 species